rnacentral:rRNA from 1 species
GACGAACGCUGGCGGCGUGCUUAAUACAUGCAAGUCAACGACUUUUAAGAUAGCAAUAUUCUAAGGGGAGUGGCGCACGGGUGAGUAACACGUAGGCAAUCUACCUUUAGGACUGACACAACUCGUCGAAAGACGGGCUAACAUCAGAUAAUGCAGCGGCUCCGCAUGGAGACAGUUGUUAAAGUACAAGCGCCUGAAGAUGAGCCUGCGGUCCAUUAGCUAGUUGGUAGAGUAACGGCCUACCAAGGCAACGAUGGAUAGCUGGUCUGAGAGGAUGAUCAGCCACACUGGAACUGAGACACGGUCCAGACUCCUACGGGAGGCAGCAGUAAGGAAUAUUGACUCAAUGGCCGAAAGGCUGAAGCAGC